ensembl:snRNA U6 U6 spliceosomal RNA
GUGCUCACUUCAACAGCACAUGUACUAAAAUAGGGACUUUGCAGCGAAGUGUAUCACAGCCACCAUGCCAAGAGGUCAUGCAAAUUCGUGAAGUGUUUCAUGUUUUU